rnacentral:rRNA from 1 species
GACAGAGGGUGCAAACGUUGUUCGGAAUUACUGGGCGUAAAGCGAGUGUAGGCGGUUUCGUAAGUCGGAUGUGAAAGCCCCGGGCUCGACCCGGGAAGUGCACUCGAUACUGCGAGGCUAGAGUAUCGGAGAGGUUGGUGGAAUUCCUGGUGUAGCGGUGAAAUGCGUAGAUAUCUGGAGGAACACCGGUGGCGAAGGCGGCAUCCUGGACCGGUAUUGACGCUGAUGCGCGAAAGCCAGGGGAGCAAACGGG